CCCUCCACAGACCAACACAGCAGUUUAACCACGACUUGGACUCCUGGUACUUUAACGUCAAAAAACAUCUGAUGCCAAUGGCAAGAUUUUAAAAUGCAACUAAGACUGGUAUUAAACAAAAGAAUGUGGUUUAUUUCUUUUUAUAAAUGAUAUUUGAUGUUUAGAUAAAUAGAGUAGUUAUUUGUUUUCUGUUAUCAACUUCUAACAUACUAUCAAAUGUAAUUUAUGUUUUUACAUGAGUUAUCAUAUGAGCUUCAGUAAAUGAUGAAAAGAGGUAUUUGUCCUGCUUUGAACUAUUUUAGAGCUACCAUUACAGCUUGACAGAAACUGCUUCAUUGGAAGCUGGUUCUUAAACAAUACUCACACAAGAAAGCGUUUGUCAAACUUGUGCACACCCCAUUCUUACAAAUUCUUUUAAUUUUAGCAAUUCGGUCAUUGUUUUGGUCUUCAGUAUAAUCUCCUUAAUGCGUCCCGACACUGCAGAAGAUCAGCACUCAGCUGUGGAGAAGCUCUCAUGUGUCACUGGUAUUCUGUGGCAGGAGCCUUGCAAGUCUUUCCCGUGACAAAGGAGCAGAGUUGGACCUAACAGUUGCUAAUCUAAGAACUUGUGGAAAUGAUGAUACCUCUUGAUAGAGAGAAACAAAGACAGAGGUCCAUGUUUCAUGGUAUCCUGAACUUAAUUGAAUUUGUGCAGGGAUGAAGGACAAUAGGAAGUGGAACAAUAUUUUUAUUUAUAGCCAUCCAAUUUAAUUUCUUCUAAGAAUACAUGGAGUGGAUCGAAUAUCAAACACACAAAAGUGGUAUUAAUUGAAAUAUAUUUGAAAUAGUUUUUGCACAAAAAUCUAUUAUAUAAUUGAAACAAUAAAACUCAAUAAAUUGUUAACUAACGGUUUGAUUAAAUUGAUACAUUUUAAAAUCAGUUUCUCCAUCCCUCUAACAUUGCAGAAUAACCUGCUAAAGCCUUUAAUUAUCUAAUUAUAACCAGCAUUUGGUGACUUGGCAAAGGCUGUAUAACAAAGGCAGUGGGAUAAGAUUACACUUAGAGGCGGGGUAUGUCUAUUUAAGUGUUUCAUUGAAAACUAUGUCACAAUGUAACACAAAAUGUAUGUUUUUACUUCAUUAGAACAGCAACCGUGGUGGAGUUAUAGUUUAACUUUUCUUCAGUUGAAAGUUGCAAAGACUUUCAAACCUCUACACACAAAAAAUGGUUUCCAUGAUGUAAAUUAUUGAGACCAUGAUUAAAAUAGUUUUUAGCCCUUUCCAGGGAACAAUGUGUUUAUCUUGCACAAUUUAUAUGAAAAAACAAACACAAACAACAAAUGCUAAUUAAAAUGAUGAUUAAAAUUCUCACAGGAGAAAACUUACAAUUUUACUUUAACUUGAAAAUAUAAUUUAACAGCUUAUCCUGCUAAAGAGAAAUGUUUUGAUAAAUAUCAAAUAUUUUCAUCAGUAAUUUAAGAAAUAAGGCAAAUCUUGAACUAAAUGAAAGGAAGCAUUUAUAUUAUGUCAGUCAUGUUUUAUUACGUUUACUGUUUCAUAAAAUGUUUACAAUUGAGUCAUUGUUGAAAUUGUUGUAAUAUACUGUAGUAAUUUUGACUAUUAUUGUACAAUGGAAAUAAAGUUGAGAUUGAACUACAAAAAGUAAAA